rnacentral:rRNA from 1 species
GAUGAACGCUGGCGGCGUGCCUAAUACAUGCAAGUCGAGCGAACGGACGAGGAGCUUGCUUCUCUGAUGUUAGCGGCGGACGGGUGAGUAACACGUGGAUAACCUACCUAUAAGACUGGGAUAACUUCGGGAAACCGGAGCUAAUACCGGAUGAUAUUUUGAACCGCAUGGUUCAACAGUGAAAGACGGUCUUGCUGUCACUUAUAGAUGGAUCCGCGCUGCAUUAGCUAGUUGGUAAGGUAACGGCUUACCAAGGCAACGAUGCAUAGCCGACCUGAGAGGGUGAUCGGCCACACUGGAACUGAGACACGGUCCAGACUCCUACGGGAGGCAGCAGUAGGGAAUCUUCCGCAAUGGGCGAAAGCCUGACGGAGCAACGCCGCGUGAGUGAUGAAGGUCUUCGGAUCGUAAAACUCUGUUAUUAGGGAAGAACAUAUGUGUAAGUAACUGUGCACAUCUUGACGGUACCUAAUCAGAAAGCCACGGCUAACUACGUG